UGGCUCAGUGGUAGAGCUCUUGCCUAGUAUGCAUGAGGCCCUGGGUUCAAUCCCCAA
rnacentral:tRNA from 1 species